rnacentral:rRNA from 1 species
AGAGUUUGAUCCUGGCUCAGAUUGAACGCUGGCGGCAUGCCUUACACAUGCAAGUCGAACGGUAACAGGUCUUCGGAUGCUGACGAGUGGCGAACGGGUGAGUAAUACAUCGGAACGUGCCCGAUCGUGGGGGAUAACGAAGCGAAAGCUUUGCUAAUACCGCAUACGAUCUACGGAUGAAAGCAGGGGACCGCAAGGCCUUGCGCGAACGGAGCGGCCGAUGGCAGAUUAGGUAGUUGGUGGGAUAAAAGCUUACCAAGCCGACGAUCUGUAGCUGGUCUGAGAGGACGACCAGCCACACUGGGACUGAGACACGGCCCAGACUCCUACGGGAGGCAGCAGUGGGGAAUUUUGGACAAUGGGCGAAAGCCUGAUCCAGCCAUGCCGCGUGCAGGAUGAAGGCCUUCGGGUUGUAAACUGCUUUUGUACGGAACGAAAAGACUCUGGUUAAUACCUGGGGUCCAUGACGGUACCGUAAGAAUAAGCACCGGCUAACUACGUGCCAGCAGCCGCGGUAAUACGUAGGGUGCAAGCGUUAAUCGGAAUUACUGGGCGUAAAGCGUGCGCAGGCGGUUAUAUAAGACAGAUGUGAAAUCCCCGGGCUCAACCUGGGAACUGCAUUUGUGACUGUAUAGCU